rnacentral:rRNA from 1 species
UAUGCCGCGUGUGUGAAGAAGGCCUUCGGGUUGUAAAGCACUUUUGUCAGGAACGAAACGUGGGGGCUAAUAUCCUCUGCUAAUGACGGUACCUGAAGAAUAAGCACCGGCUAACUACGUGCCAGCAGCCGCGGUAAUACGUAGGGUGCGAGCGUUAAUCGGAAUUACUGGGCGUAAAGCGUGCGCAGGCGGUUGUGCAAGACAGAUGUGAAAUCCCCGGGCUUAACCUGGGAAUUGCAUUUGUGACUGCACGGCUAGAGUGUGUCAGAGGGGGGUAGAAUUCCACGUGUAGCAGUGAAAUGCGUAGAUAUGUGGAGGAAUACCGAUGGCGAAGGCAGCCCCCUGGGAUAACACUGACGCUCAUGCACGAAAGCGUGGGGAGCAAACAGGAUUAGAUACCCUGGUAGUCCACGCCCUAAACGAUGUCUACUAGUUGUCGGGUCUUAAUUGACUUGGUAACGCAGCUAACGCAUGAAGUAGACCGCCUGGGGAGUACGGUCGCAAGAUUAAAACUCAAAGGAAUUGACGGGGACCCGCACAAGCGGUGGAUGAUGUGGAUUAAUUCGAUGCCACGCGAAAGAACUUACCUACCCUUGACAUUGUACGGAAUCCUGCUGAGAGGUGGGGGUGCUCGAAGAGAGCCGUACAC